rnacentral:rRNA from 1 species
UACGAAGGGUGCAAGCGUUACUCGGAAUUACUGGGCGUAAAGCGUGCGUAGGCGGUUUGUUAAGUCUGUUGUGAAAGCCCCGGGCUCAACCUGGGAAUGGCAAUGGAAACUGGCGAGCUAGAGUACGGUAGAGGAGAGUGGAACUCCUGGUGUAGCGGUGGAAUGCGCAGAUAUCAGGAAGAACACCCGUGGCGAAGGCGGCUCUCUGGGACGGUACUGACGCUGAGACGCGAAAGCGUGGGGAGCGAACAGG